AGGGCUCAUUAAGGCAGCAUGUGGGCAAUUAGAGGCCUUUCUACAAAACAAUGGGAAUGUUAGCCAGUUUUCGUCAGAGACGAUAAGCAAUGGACGCACCAAGAUAAAGUUCGUGCAAAAUGGACACGCCCCAAAGUCUGCAAAUGGGUUAUUAAAUACUGCAUAUGGCAAUUCAGUAGUUUGCCCUUGGAAAGAUGUAAACCACUGUUUAUGAUGAUGGUGCUCGCUUAUGUUAUCA
rnacentral:misc_RNA from 1 species